UACCUCACUUACUGCAGCGCCAUAGUUUAAGUAGUGCAUCGAAGUAAAGUCAGGGAUGUAAUGUGAAGAUGCUGAUAAAUUCAGUGAUCCCACAUAUGCCUGCAUUUUGAAUGACUAAGAGUAAGGUAGCAAAGAACUUGAGCAUCUAAAUGUCAAUAUCAAAAGAAUAUCAAAGUUCAUAUCCUGUCAGUAUAGCAGCCUGACAAUCAAUUCAGAAAAA